UGAGGGAAAGUUGCAAAGAACUUUGAAGAGAGAGUUCAAGAGUACGUGAAACUGCUCAGGGGCAAACGGGUGGGCCCUCGAAGUCCGCGCGGAGAGGGAUUCAGUCCCGAGCCGUGGGGGACGCGUCGUCGGAGAUUUCUGGGUGAGACUCCGGCCUCGUCGUCCUUCCCAAGGCCGGGGACGCACUUCUCUCUCCCGAAGGACGCCGCAGCCUCUCGGAGGUCGGCAGUAAGGAGCAAUGUAGGUAGGUGGCGUGGGCGUCGGUCUCGAACCGGCGCCCCGUGUCUGGCCUGUUGGUCCAGGCGCGACUCCCGAGAGAGGGAAGCGUCUCGUUCGCGAGACUGGCCGUUGCCUCGCUCUGGCGAGCGGAGGGACGGGAUCAGGGACGCUGAGUGCUCCGUGCGUCACCGAGCGAGUGUCGCCGGACUCGCGGUACCCGCUGGGUCCCGCCCAAACCGCGGCGUAUGGCAAGCGGCUUGCGGCGAGUAGGUCGGUAACCCACCCGACCCGUCUUGAAACACGGACCAAGGAGUCUAACAUGUGCGCGAGUCAGUGGGACUCGAUCAAGCCCACGGGCAUAAACGAAAGUGACGAAACAUAGUUAUUGUGUCGGGAUCCCCGUCAGCGAUGGCGGGGCGCACCGACGGGCUGGGUCGCAGCGUUAGCUGGACCCGGAGCCUGAGCGUACACGUUGGGACCCGAAAGAUGGUGAGCUAUGCCCGGGCAGGUCGAAGCUAGAGGAAACUCUGGUGGAGGACCGCAGCGGUUCUGACGUGCAAAUCGAUCGUCGAACCUAGG
rnacentral:rRNA from 1 species